rnacentral:rRNA from 1 species
CUCGUGCUAUCGUCUAGUGUUUGACGUGCGCUCAGAAGGGAGCUUGCUCCCGUAAUGUUAGCGGCGGACGGGUGAGUAACACGUGGGUAACCUGCCUGUAAGACUGGGAUAACUCCGGGAAACCGGAGCUAAUACCGGAUAGUUCCUUGAACCGCAUGGUUCAAGGAUGAAAGACGGUUUCGGCUGUCACUUACAGAUGGACCCGCGGCGCAUUAGCUAGUUGGUGGGGUAAUGGCUCACCAAGGCGACGAUGCGUAGCCGACCUGAGAGGGUGAUCGGCCACACUGGGACUGAGACACGGCCCAGACUCCUACGGGAGGCAGCAGUAGGGAAUCUUCCGCAAUGGACGAAAGUCUGACGGAGCAACGCCGCGUGAGUGAUGAAGGUUUUCGGAUCGUAAAGCUCUGUUGUUAGGGAAGAACAAGUGCGAGAGUAACUGCUCGCACCUUGACGGUACCUAACCAGAAAGCCACGGCUAAC